rnacentral:rRNA from 1 species
GAAUUCGCCCUUAGAGUUUGAUCCUGGCUCAGGAUGAACGCUGGCGGCGUGCUUAACACAUGCAAGUCGAACGAAGCACUGAAAGCAGAUUACUUCGGUUUGAAGCUUUCUUUGACUGAGUGGCGGACGGGUGAGUAACGCGUGGGUAACCUGCCUCAUACAGGGGGAUAACAGUUAGAAAUGACUGCUAAUACCGCAUAAGCGCACGGUUUCGCAUGGAACAGUGUGAAAAACUCCGGUGGUAUGGGAUGGACCCGCGUCUGAUUAGCUGGUUGGCGGGGUAACGGCCCACCAAGGCGACGAUCAGUAGCCGGCCUGAGAGGGUGAACGGCCACAUUGGGACUGAGACACGGCCCAAACUCCUACGGGAGGCAGCAGUGGGGAAUAUUGCACAAUGGGGGAAACCCUGAUGCAGCGACGCCGCGUGAAGGAAGAAGUAUUUCGGUAUGUAAACUUCUAUCAGCAGGGAAGAAAAUGACGGUACCUGACUAAGAAGCCCCGGCUAACUACGUGCCAGCAGCCGCGGUAAUACGUAGGGGGCAAGCGUUAUCCGGAUUUACUGGGUGUAAAGGGAGCGUAGGCGGCGAUGCAAGUCAGAAGUGAAAGCCCGGGGCUCAACUCCGGGACUGCUUUUGAAACUGUGUUGCUAGAUUGCAGGAAGAGGUAAGUGGAAUUCCUAGGUGUAGCGGGUGAAAUGCGUAGAAUAUUAGGGAGGAACACCAGUCGGCGAGGGCGGCGUACUGGACUGUAAAUGACGCCUGAGGCCUCGAAAGCGUGGGGAGCAAACAGGAUUAGAUACCCUGGUAGUCCACGCCCGUAAACGAUGAAUACUAGGUGUCAGGGAGCAAAGCUCUUUGGUGCCGCAGCAAACGCAGUAAGUAUUCCACCUGGGGAGUACGUUCGCAAGAAUGAAACUCAAAGGAAUUGACGGGGACCCGCACAAGCGGUGGAGCAUGUGGUUCAAUUCGAAGCAACGCGAAGAACCUUACCAAGUCUUGACAUCCGGAUGACCGGAACUUAACCGUUCCUUCCCUUCGGGGCAUCCGAGACAGGUGGUGCAUGGUUGUCGUCAGCUCGUGUCGUGAGAUGUUCAGUUAAGUCUGGCAACGAGCGCAACCCUCGUGAUGUGUUACCAAUAUCGAGUUAGGGACUCACAUCAGACUGCCGGUGAGAAACCGGAGGAAGGCGGGGAGGACGUCAAAUCAUCAUGCCCCUUAUGGCCUGGGCUACACACGUACUACAAUGGCGGCGACAGAGGGCAGCGAGCCUGCGAAGGCAAGCGAAUCCCCAAAAAGCCGUCCCAGUUCGGAUUGGAGUCUGCAACCCGACUCCAUGAAGUUGGAAUCGCUAGUAAUCGCGGAUCAGCAUGCCGCGGUGAAUACGUUCUCGGGCCUUGCACUCACCGCCCGUCA